AAGGUUGUCAUGAUGCAUGUAAUGUAUGUAUAAAAUUUAAAUCAUACCUAUGCAUGUUUAAUUAUUAAACAUAUUAUAAAAAUUUAUUUUCAUGACUUAAAAUAUAUGGUAUGCUUUAUCUAAAAUCUUGAUAGAAUAGUUCUACAAACUGAAACAUAUGUUUUACAUAUUUAAUUUUGAAUUAAGUUUAAAUGAUCUAGAUUUGAGAAUUGAAGAUCAUUAGGUCACCACAU
rnacentral:lncRNA from 1 species